AUGUGGAUCAUUCUUGGGUUACAACAUACAAAUCUAUAUAUCUGUUGUUGUUCCUUUGGAAUCAAUCUCAAUAUAUCUAGAUAGCACCUCUCUCUCAUUAUUUCUAUAGUGAGUAAGAGAGUUGCUGGGGAAUUCACCAUAGAAGGCGAUCGCCGUGUCUAUGUGGAUGUAUACAUCUCACACACACACGACCGCUCGAUAUAUACCUAUGUAUAUAGAUCCUUCUCCCACUUCCAUGGACAAGUCGGUAGUCUGACUAUCGAUCUGGCCAUGGGGGCGGCUGGGUUGCGGGGGUGGUGAAUGCAACCUUCCAGUCGUUUCAAUACAACGCUCAACGAUGGAUGUCUCGGCUUGGUGAUCGAUGAAGGACGCAGCGAAGUGCGACAAGUGUCAUGACUUGCAGAUUCCCGAGAGCUGACAAAUUUCUGAAUGCAAAUGGCGGCCGCUAACUCGGCCAUGUAUUGUAGAGUGUAGUUGUUCCUACUCAUCAUCCCCUUGGACCCAGAGAGGUGGGGUAAGUCUUCUCGUGCCCCAUCUCUCGUCCAAGGAGGCAUCUGCGCUUGCGCAUUCUCAAGAUUGUGCGAGUGUGAAAAUCAAGAGGGGGGAGAAAGUCUUCACAUCUGUGUAAAAACAUUUGUGGGGACCUUUCUUUCCUACUUCGAACACGCAAAACUGUUUUGAAGUAGCUCAACUCUUCAUAUCUAUAUAUCACAUAUAUAGAUAUAUAUCUAACCAUCCACCUCUGCAAUGCAGGAGAACCCGCUGAACUUAAGCAUAUCAUUUAGCGGAGGACAAGAAAACAACCGUGAUUCCCUGAGUAACGGCGAGUGAACAGGGAACAGCCUAUGCUUGAAUCCGCGGUGGAAGGAACCGGAAGCCGUGGAAUUGUAGUGCAAGGACCGAUGGGUGUCUCCACAGACAGACGAAGCGUACUAGAACGUGCCACCAUGGAGGGCGAUCGUCCCGUCCCGUCUGUUCGCGUGGGGGCUACAUCCCUGAGGCUCCAAGAGUCGCGCAGUUUGAUAGUGCUGUGCAAACCGCAGGUGUAUCUCUGCGAAGGCUAAAUAUUGCACCAAGACCGAUAGCGAACAAGUAGAGUGAUCGAAAGAUGAAAAGCACUUUGGAAAGAGAGUGAAAAAGCCCCUGAAAUCGUUGAGCGCCAAGGGUACGAGACCCAUUUGGCCGCCUUGCGUAAGCGAGGCAUGUCAGUACCAGUUGAUGCCUUCUGCGCCGGGUUCGUCGUCGGAGUCCUUCGGGCCUUCGAGGCGCGACUUGGAUCGCAGCGAGGUGCCGACUGGGGACCUUACGGGCCGGAGCUGAAAAUCGUUGCUGGGGUUACGGAUCUGAAGCGUGCGGUGCUUUCUCCGGGAGGUGCUCAUGCCAAGGUUCAGUGGCUUCACGCGGUCGCAAGCGAUCGGUCUUUGCUGACACCGGUGCUCUGCCGGGGAGAUGGUCUUUUACCACCCGUCUUGAAACACGGACCAAGGAGUCUACCUAAUGGGCGAACCUUUGAGUGUUCAAACUCAACAAGGUGGAAUGAAAGUGGGUUCCCGUGAAGCGGCGAGGCCUUCUCGCAUGCAUGCAACGGGGCACGGUCCUUAUCGUAUGUGACAGGGAUCUGAAGCAAAGUCCAUUAGCUGGGACCCGAAAGAUUGCGAGCUUUUCCUGGGCCGAUGGAAGUCAGGGGAAACCUUGAUGGACGAUCGAACGCAGUGCUGACGUGCAAAUCGCUUGUCAGAUCUGGGUAAAGGGGCGAAAGACUCAUCGAGCAAUCUAGUAGCUGGUUCCCUC
rnacentral:misc_RNA from 1 species